UGGGGAAUAUUGGACAAUGGGCGAAAGCCUGAUCCAGCAAUGCCGCGUGAGUGAUGAAGGCCUUCGGGUUGUAAAGCUCUUUUACCAGGGAUGAUAAUGACAGUACCUGGAGAAUAAGCUCCGGCUAACUCCGUGCCAGCAGCCGCGGUAAUACGGAGGGAGCUAGCGUUGUUCAGAAUUACUGGGCGUAAAGCGCGCGUAGGCGGCGACUCAAGUCAGAGGUGAAAGCCCGGGGCUCAACCCCGGAACUGCCUUUGAAACUAGGUUGCUAGAAUCUUGGAGAGGUCAGUGGAAUUCCGAGUGUAGAGGUGAAAUUCGUAGAUAUUCGGAAGAACACCAGUGGCGAAGGCGACUGACUGGACAAGUAUUGACGCUGAGGGACGAAAGCGUGGGGAGCAAACA
rnacentral:rRNA from 1 species